rnacentral:rRNA from 1 species
AUUGAACGCUGGCGGAAUGCUUUACACAUGCAAGUCGAACGGCAGCACGGACUUCGGUCUGGUGGCGAGUGGCGAACGGGUGAGUAAUAUAUCGGAACGUAUCCAAUAAUGGGGAUAACUAAUCGAAAGGUUGGCUAAUACCGCAUACGCCCUACGGGGAAAGCUAGGGACCUUCGGGCCUGGCGUUAAUGGAGCGGCUGAUAUCUGAUUAGCUAGUUGGUGAGGUAAAGGCUCACCAAGGCGACGAUCAGUAGCUGGUCUGAGAGAACGACCAGCCACACUGGAACUGAGACACGGUCCAGACUCCUACGGGAGGCAGCAGUGGGGGAAUUUUGGACAAUGGGGGGCAACCCUGAUCCAGCAAUGCCGCGUGAGUGAAGAAGGCCUCGGUUGUAAGACUCUUUGUUCAGGGAAGAAACGGUAGGGGCGGAAUAACGUUCUACUAAUGACGGUACCUGAAGAAUAAG